rnacentral:rRNA from 1 species
UAACACGUGGGCAACCUGCCUAUGAGACUGGGAUAACUCCGGGAAACCGGGGCUAAUACCGGAUAAUUCUUUUCUACACAUGUAGAAAAGCUGAAAGAUGGUUUCGGCUAUCACUCAUAGAUGGGCCCGCGGCGCAUUAGCUAGUUGGUGAGGUAACGGCUCACCAAGGCGACGAUGCGUAGCCGACCUGAGAGGGUGAUCGGCCACACUGGGACUGAGACACGGCCCAG